rnacentral:rRNA from 1 species
GAUGAACGCUGGCGGCGUGCCUAAUACAUGCAAGUCGAGCGAACAGACGAGGAGCUUGCUCCUCUGACGUUAGCGGCGGACGGGUGAGUAACACGUGGAUAACCUACCUAUAAGACUGGGAUAACUUCGGGAAACCGGAGCUAAUACCGGAUAAUAUAUUGAACCGCAUGGUUCAAUAGUGAAAGACGGUUUUGCUGUCACUUAUAGAUGGAUCCGCGCCGCAUUAGCUAGUUGGUAAGGUAACGGCUUACCAAGGCGACGAUGCGUAGCCGACCUGAGAGGGUGAUCGGCCACACUGGAACUGAGACACGGUCCAGACUCCUACGGGAGGCAGCAGUAGGGAAUCUUCCGCAAUGGGCGAAAGCCUGACGGAGCAACGCCGCGUGAGGGAUGAAGGUCUUCGGAUCGUAAAACUCUGUUAUUAGGGAAGAACAAAGGUGUAAGUAACUAUGCACGUCUUGACGGUACCUAAUCAGAAAGCCACGGCUAACUACGUGC